UACGUAGGGGGCAAGCGUUGUCCGGAUUUAUUGGGCGUAAAGAGCGUGUAGGCGGCUUUACAGGUCCGUUGUGAAAACUCGAGGCUCAACCUCGAGACGCCGGUGGAAACCGUAAAGCUAGAGUCCGGAAGAGGAGAGUGGAAUUCCUGGUGUAGCGGUGAAAUGCGCAGAUAUCAGGAGGAACACCCGUGGCGAAAGCGGCUCUCUGGGACGGUACUGACGCUGAGGCACGAAAGCGUGGGGAGCAAACAGG
rnacentral:rRNA from 1 species